AAUGAACGCUGGCGGCAGGCCUAACACAUGCAAGUCGAACGGAUCCUUCGGGAUUAGUGGCGGACGGGUGAGUAACGCGUGGGAACAUACCCUUUGGUACGGAAUAGCCUCGGGAAACUGGGAGUAAUACCGUAUGUGGUCGAGAGACGAAAGAUUUAUCGCCAAAGGAUUGGCCCGCGUUGGAUUAGGUAGUUGGUGGGGUAAUGGCCUACCAAGCCGACGAUCCAUAGCUGGUUUGAGAGGAUGAUCAGCCACACUGGGACUGAGACACGGCCCAGACUCCUACGGGAGGCAGCAGUGGGGAAUCUUAGACAAUGGGGGAAACCCUGAUCUAGCCAUGCCGCGUGAUCGAUGAAGGCCUUAGGGUUGUAAAGAUCUUUCAGGUGGGAAGAUAAUGACGGUAUCCGGAGAAGAAGCCCCGGCUAACUUCGUGCCAGCCGCCGCGGUAA
rnacentral:rRNA from 1 species